CUAACGUUCUCUGAUUGGUAGAACUACGACUUGAAAUAUAAAUGAAGAAUAAACUAUGACUAUGCGGACAUAGAGGAUUGUGGUAAUGCUGUAUUGUCAAAUUACUAGCUGACUACAUACAAAAUAAUUUGAAUAAAUAAAUGAAUGUAUAAAUAAAUUAGUGACUUGAUAAAUUAAAUAAGAUUGCAUCAAAAAACCUGACACAUAUGGUUGGAAUCUGUCCUGAGAAACACCACACAUGAGUAAAAUUGGAUUUGGCUUCGAGUGCACUAGGCUUAUAUAAUGUCAAAUUAUCCCCAAAUUUGAUGAAAUGACUGAGGUCAGAAUUUAUAGGUUUUUGCUAAAUUUUUAAGAUUUGCUGUAAAUGAAUAACAUUGCGCCUGGAAUUACCCUUUUUGGUUAAUGGGGAACGAAUAACCUUCUGUGACACUGGUGCGACAUUAAUGUCGGAAUAUUUCCGCCAGGCCCUGUUUUGAAUAGAUGUUCCUUCCUAUGUCGCUGCCAUGCUGAGUACAUAGGUUGAAAUGCUGUGAUUAUAUAAGAUGGGGGUUGCAUUUGUUCCGUGAUUAGCAGAUUUCUCAGGUUGAGGAGAGAGAGGUGGAGAAGUAGAAUGAUGAUUUUUUGGACAAUUACUGAGGCUUCGGUUGGACUCCUGCUGCAGUGACGCAUCCUGGGUUAAAAGGGUGCAACUCCAUGUUGGCAGCCUACUCUUCCAGCGUGGGGUGAGGAAAGAAGGAGAGCGUCUGUUUGAUAGGGGUGCGAGGCUUGCGAAGCAGAGACGGGUGUUUUUAUGUAAAAGCUAACUAAUUAACUCCUGUUUGCUUCUUUCUUUUUCCUCUGUCUGAGACUCGCUGCGGUGCGUCUGACCCCUGACCUCAACUCAAACCAGUCUUGCCAUGGCCGACAUGGUCCCUCCUCGUCACUAGCUGAUGACAGCACUCAAGGAGACAGAGAAGAGUUCUAUCACCUUCAGUCACUGAUGCGCUGCUGGUCUUACAGUUCCGAUGCCUGUGAACUGUGAUUCAGAAAAUUCCUGCAUGGUGUCCUGCUGGACAUUGGACUGAAACUAGAUUCCUGUUUGGGUGCAAUUGACCUCGUACGACCUCCGCUGACCAACCCCCUGACAUCAGCGUGGAGACGGACAAUGAUGUGCUUCUAAGAUGAAGACAACGAACUGGACUGUUUGAUGCUGUCUAACUGUUUGGACAUUGCAGAGCCAGUUACAUGUGACUGCGGAGAGUUCAGAGAAAGGGGGGAGGAUUGCACCUCAGUGACGCCAGACCCAGGGGGAGGACGGAGAAGUGGGACAGAGAGGUGUCGUUUGCAGAUAAGUGUUUUAAACUUGUAUCCUGUCCUGUUUUCUGCUUUGGCCAACCUGGACCCGAAGCGCUUGUCCCAUGUGGGCCGGCUUCUGUUCUUCCUCAUGUCACUCUGUUUUAUUACCAGGGCCGGGCUGAAUGGUUGCAUUUGUGUGACAAAAGGGGGUGUUGCUGCUGUAGUAUUCUGACACAUAUGCAGCAUACUGUGUUUGGCUGUGGACUCUGCGAUUACGGUGCAUGUUCAACCUCCUAGACAUGGUGGCAGGGAGGUGUCUGAUCAUCUUCCCAAUUCUGUUUGGAUGUUUCUUUAACACAACCGAUUGUUAAUCUGGUUUUGUCUCAGAAACAGGGGGGUGAGAGGAGAAUUCUCUAAUAUGCGAGCACAAUACUAGAUCCUAUGGAGAAGAGACAAAUAGCUCAGCAGGAAAUAACAGGCAGCUGUAAUGCAAAUCAUUCUCUCCCCCAUCACCUAAAGUAGCUCCUGACAAAAUAUCAGAAUAUAUGUCACAAUCUUAGUAGUGAAACAACAAGAGGCACCCCAGGAAGAUUUAUAAGUUGAAAUUGAAAUUAGAUGAAACUAAAACACAUGUUGUAUGAUACGUGCAAGAACCUGAUGAAGUAGCAGAGGAAUUGGGAGUUUUUCUCUUGGAAUCCUAAUUAGCUUUCUUUCCUGCCAUAAAAGUUCCUUCUACAAGGUGAGGAAAAUUCAUGAAGGAGGUGUCAAGUAGUUUUAUGGCCCAUCUGACUCUAGAGAUAAGGAGAGUUGCUUGAAGUUUUGGUGUCUUCAAUUCGGAGAAUUCUUUAGAGUGAAUUAUUAAAAAAGUUAAUAUAAAGUGAAUAAUGACAUAAUAUGGAAUAUAUUAAAUGUAGAUUUUUCAGCAUCGAAAUGCUGAGUUUGAUUGGUAAACAGGCUUUGACAAACAUUAAUUAAAUUUUCUAGGAAAAGCUGGUAAAAGAAAAUAUAUUUCUUAAAAUAUUUUACAUAAAUACAAAUAAUACUUUGGUGGUGUGGUCUUUCUAAGGGCAUUUUCUGGCUAAAUAUUCAAAUUCAGGUUUUAAUGUUUUGAUAAAUUAUUUACGGUUGCUCAGAUUACCCUGAAGGUUGGGAAAGUUAAAGAUGAGUAGAACUAUGGAGUAACUGUUUAGACGUUAAAGAGUUCCAAGGGAGCUAAUACAUGAUGAAAUUUUACUUAUUAAAAAUCAUUAACGAGUUAGAAUGAAAUAAUGUGCUUCAAAACUGUAAUGUGAAAUGUUCUGGGGAAAAUUUGAGUAAUCUUGUGGGUUAAAUUCAUCCUACAAAUAAUUAAUCUAUUUGUUCUGAAAGUUUAUCUCUCAGAAAAAGGGCAGAGAAUUUGGCCAAAACAACAUAAUAAAGAUAAAAGGUUAACUAUGAAAAUUAUUAAAUUAUCCUGAAAAUAAAAUAAAAUGAGAAGGAAAAGGUCUUUAAACUAUUAGGUUUUGCAAAUAAGUGGACAUUUAAAGGGUUUUUCUGAUUGAAGGAAUUGGUUUAUAAUUAAAUUUGAACCUCUAAUUGAUGAUAAUUAUGGAGUUAAAUAGCAGUGUUUUGUGGAACGUUGAAGUAUUUGUUGCAUCUUAAUUGAAUAUAUAAACUAGAAUUUCACUCUGAGACACAAUAUUGAAUAUGCAGUUAUUGAAAUUGGUGAGAAGUUUUGACAAAAAGGAAAUUAUUAAUUGGGUUCUAAUAUAACUUUUGAGAAAUAUCUUUUAGAAUGCACAUGUUAAUUAAAAUCUUGGAGACUAAAUUUAUAAAAUAGUAAAACAUUUAAGGCUACACAUUUGAAAAAUUCUUGUAGCUUUCGUAAUUCUUGAUUGAAUAAAUUUGAACAAAGAAGAAUACGAUGUGAAAAGACUGACGGUUUUGUGACUGACCAUGACUAGACUAAAUGUUUCAUGUUCUGUUUGUUGUGUUAUCAUCUGUCUGUGAAUAUAUGGUAUGAAUAUGUGUGAUUAGAACAGAAUAUAAAUUUUGAAAUAAAACUGGCAAACUAAUUAUAUAUUGUCCCCAAUUACAAGGCAAGGGAGACUAAAUUAAAUUAUCACAGAAAUUGGCUGAACUAUGUGCACAUAAGAAUUAAAUUGAGUAGAUGUUUUGCCUAUUACUUCGAUGCCUGUCUGUCUAGUAACCAUUCGACAGGGUUUUUCUCCAUUUGAGCUUCGAAACCGACGGAAGUUACGUGGACCGCCGGCCCGUACCAGGAUGAAAAGGUGAAUCUGCACAUUUGUCGCAUAACGACUGCUUUAAUGAGUUACAGGUCCUGGGAGUGGAAUUUGCAUAAUAUCAGACGUGACAGGAACGUCCAGGCUCGAGACCAGUUCCUGGACUCGACUGGGUGCCCCUGGAGCUCAUCAAACGGAAGCGGUCUGAACCUCGCUUCACCGGACCACACUGAGUAGUGGAGAAGACAUCCCAUGCUGUUCGUCUACAAGGGAAAGGAGACGCCUGGUUCCAUUGGAGUCAGUGCACGGCAGCCGAGGAGCCACAACGCGCGCUCUGAGUGACACAGGAGGUCCUGCAGCAUCAAGCUUCAAUUGAGGAGCACAGCCGGGCACGGCCAGAAGCAGACGUGGAUCUACUGUCCCGAGAAGAAGUGUAGCAGGAAUCUCACUGAAAUGAGGCAUAAUAAUCCGAUUUUCAGUAGAGCAACGGACGCUCAGUUAGUCACCUGAGCUGUAGAACUAAGGAGGGAAACAGGUUCACGACGGAUAAGGAUGCAAGAGCAUCAUCAUCAGCUUCACAUAUUUUUUCUUGUGUUUUCUCGUUUAUUGCGAACUUUCGUUUUUUGCGCAUGUUUUUGGUCAUUUCUUGACAAAGAAUUCAUAUUUUUUCAAGGACUAUUGAAGGAUAUUUUAUUGUGAAAAAAAAACCAACAAGAAAUAGUGUUUUGUAAUUUUAUGUGUUUAUGGUUUUUGCAUUUUAUGUUUUGAGCUGUUGUUUGUACUGUGUUUUCGUUCUAUGGUGAUUAUGGAGUUUUAUGAUUUGUCAUCUUUUUAAACCCAUAGGUUGUUUUACUCUUAGAUUUGAUUGGUUGAAAUUUUGUGGUUCAACGGGUAAGUAUUGAAAAUUGUGGGUUGGCACAGGUUUCCAUUUGACAGGUUCGGAUGAUGGAGUUCGGCUUCAGACACAUGGAUGGGCGGUGUAAGUCUUAUUACAGUUUCAGUGAGAAGAGACGCAGUGGCCCACCUCCUUCAUCCCCUUUAUCAGAUGUUUUUUGUGGUCUUGCUGAUGAGAGAGUUGUGGAGCUGGGAGGCUCUAUUUAAAAAGGGGGACUGUUAUAUAAUUUGGCUACUGAUAUAUAAUUGAGUGUACUAUAUAAGUUCGACUACUACAUAGUUUUUGGUUCCUCUAUUUGAAGCCUUGAUGAAUUUAUUUGUUGAGAUCUU